AAUAGAUACCCCGGUAGUCCACGCUGUAAACGAUGAGGACUAAAUGUUGGUAGGGGAACCUAUCGGUAUUGAAGCUAACGCGAUAAGUCUUCCGCCUGGGAAGUACGGCCGCAAGGUUGAAACUCAAAUGAAUUGACGGGGGCCCGCACAAGCGGUGGAGCAUGUGGUUUAAUUCGAUGCAACGCGAAGAACCUUACCUACCCUUGACAUCCUGCGAAUCCCGAUGAGAGUUGGGAGUGCCGCAAGGAGCGCAGAGACAGGUGCUGCAUGGCUGUCGUCAGCUCGUGUUGUGAGAUGUUGGGUUAAGUCCCGUAACGAGCGCAACCCUUGUCCUUAGUUGCCAGCAUUAAGUUGGGGACUCUAAGGAGACUGCCGGUGAGGAACCGGAGGAAGGCGGGGACGACGUCAAGUCAUCAUGGCCUUUAUGGGUAGGGCUACACACGUGCUACAAUGGGGCGUACAGAGGGUCGCGAACCCGCGAGGGGAGCCAAUCUCAUAAAGCGUCUCGUAGUCCGGAUUGGAGUCUGCAACUCGACU
rnacentral:rRNA from 1 species